GUGCUUAUUUGACAGCAUAUCUACUAAAACUGGAAUGAUAACAGAAAAGAUUGGCAUGGACACUACACAAGGAUGAUAUGCAAAUCCAUGAAGCUCUCCAUAUUAUG
rnacentral:snRNA from 1 species